UAAGGGAACAGCUCCUUCCAAGAAUGGAAGAUGCAACGUGACAAAGGACAGGAUUGAAAUCUCCAGAAUCACAAAGGUUGUAGUAGAGCAAAUAUUGAUUCUGUUCAACAAAUCCCACACCACCAGGAAGAGGAAGCAACAACUGAAGCUUGAAGCUGGUAUGAUAGGCCUGGACAACAACUCGCUUUAUUUGCCUGCCCAGGAUUUCCCGCAAAGAAGAAACUCAAGCUUUGAACAUGUCAAGCAAUGUGUGAUUUUCACGUUGCCAAGAAGAUUUCAUCAUUAUUAAACUUUCCGAAAGCCUGAAUGGA